GCCUUUGUGGUGUAACGGUAGCACACUCGGCGCAUAUUCGAGAGGUCCAGGGUUCGAGUCCCAGCGAGGGCA
rnacentral:tRNA from 1 species